AUUUUUCUGAUUGUGCCGAUUCUCGAAUAAAGGUCCAUGUAAGAUCAGGAUUUUGAUUUGCCUGGCAAAAAGGGAAUCAAGCUAAACUUUUGCAAAUUUUCCCGUGAUGUAAUCAAAUAAUAUUUCGUAAAAACAAGACAGAAAUCCGGCCCUACAGAGUUUUUGGUGGCUUCCUGAUGCGUCAACAGCUUGAGCUACAGCUGUCGUGGGCUGCUGGCUAUUACCUGUGUGCAUCAGCAAGUUCAGGCCCAAGCUUUGCCACAUCAGCGACAUCGGCUUUCACAAACCUGUGGAUGUCGGAUCCAGGUCGGUUCCCUGCUGCGGUUAAAAGCCUUUGUCAACUACACAGAGUCAAAUUAUUUGCAGAACAGUGAGAACAGUCAGAAAUUUCACGAAAUAAUCAACAUUUUCAACAACUG